GUAGGUGGCAAGCGUUGUCCGGAAUUAUUGGGCGUAAAGCGCGCGCAGGCGGUUCUUUAAGUCUGAUGUGAAAGCCCACGGCUCAACCGUGGAGGGUCAUUGGAAACUGGAGAACUUGAGUACAGAAGAGGAAAGCGGAAUUCCACGUGUAGCGGUGAAAUGCGUAGAGAUGUGGAGGAGCACCAGUGGCGAAGGCGGCUUUCUGGUCUGUAACUGACGCUGAGGCGCGAAAGCGUGGGGGAGCAAACAGGAUUAGAUACCCUGGUAGUCCACGCCGUAAACGAUGAGUGCUAAGUGUUAGGGGGUUUCCGCCCCUUAGUGCUGCAGCUAACGCAUUAAGCACUCCCGCCUGGGAGUACGGCCGCAAGGCUG
rnacentral:rRNA from 1 species